UCUCGAUCUCCUCACCAUGUAUGUGAAUAAAUACAAAACAAAAUCUACAUGCAUAAACAAGACACACAUCCAUCUACACAUGCACUGAGCCCCCUCAGCGCAUCUAGCCAAGGCUCACAGCAGAGAGGCCUCUCACCAGGACCUAGACUGUGGCCAGCUCAACAUUAAUAAAAACUUGAUGGGCGUUAUUUCCACUAAGGCCUUAGCAGCACCUGGAGAAGAACAGCUGCUUCUCUCCUCUCACCAGCACACAGAAGUUAAAGUAAAAAGACACGAGCACCUCGGGUCUCACGCCAGACUUUCAGGACAUCGUGCUUAGAAACUACAACCAAGCAA
rnacentral:misc_RNA from 1 species